rnacentral:rRNA from 1 species
GCGAAGCCUGAUGCAGCCAUGCCGCGUGUAUGAAGUAAGGCCUUCGGGUUGUAAAGUACUUUCAGCAGUGAGGAAGGUGGGUAUGGUUAAUAGCAUAUUCAUUUGACGUUAGCUGCAGAAGAAGCACCGGCUAACUCCGUGCCAGCAGCCGCGGUAAUACGGAGGGUGCGAGCGUUAAUCGGAAUUACUGGGCGUAAAGCGCAUGCAGGUGGUUUGUUAAGUCAGAUGUGAAAGCCCCGGGGCUCAACCUCGGAAUUGCAUUUGAAACUGGCAAACUAGAGUACUGUAGAGGGGGGUAGAAUUUCAGGUGUAGCGGUGAAAUGCGUAGAGAUCUGAAGGAAUACCGGUGGCGAAGGCGGCCCCCCUGGACAGAUACUGACACUCAGAUGCGAAAGCGUGGGGAGCAAACAGGAUUAGAUACCCUGGUAG